UAAGCGGAGGAAAAGAAACUAACANGGAUUCCCCUAGUAACUGCGAGUGAAGCGGGAAAAGCUCAAAUUUAAAAUCUGGUGGUCUUUGGCCAUCCGAGUUGUAAUUUAGAGAAGCGUCUNCCGCGCUGGACCGUGCACAAGUCUCCUGGAAUGGAGCGUCAUAGAGGGUGAGAAUCCCGUCUUUGGCAUGGACACACCAGGGCUUUUGUGAUGCGCUCUCGAAGAGUCGAGUUGUUUGGGAAUGCAGCUCAAAAUGGGUGGUGAACUCCAUCUAAAGCUAAAUAUUGGCGAGAGACCGAUAGCGAACAAGUACCGUGAGGGAAAGAUGAAAAGCACUUUGGAAAGAGAGUGAAACAGUACGUGAAAUUGUUGAAAGGGAAACGCUUGAAGUCAGUCACGUCGACCGAGACUCAGCCUUGCCUCGGCUUGGUGUACUUCUCGGCUGACGGGUCAGCAUCAAUUUUGCCCCUUGGAUAAUGGCGAGGGAAAUGUGACACCUUUAUGGUGUGUUAUAGUCUCUCGUCGCAUGCAAGGGUUGGGAUUGAGGAACUCAGCACGCGCCCUUUGGGUGUCGGGGCUUUGCCCACGAUACGUGCUUAGGAUGUUGGCAUAAUGGCUUUAAACGACC
rnacentral:rRNA from 1 species